CCUACGGGGGGCUGCAGUGAGGAAUAUUGGUCAAUGGACGAGAGUCUGAACCAGCCAAGUAGCGUGAAGGAUGACUGCCCUAUGGGUUGUAAACUUCUUUUAUAAAGGAAUAAAACGAGGCACGUGUGCCUUUUUGCAUGUACUUUAUGAAUAAGGAUCGGCUAACUCCGUGCCAGCAGCCGCGGUAAUACGGAGGAUCCGAGCUUUAUCCGGAUUUUUUGGGUUUAAAGGGAGCGUAGAUGGGUUGAUAAGUUAGUUGUGAAAGUUUGCGGCUCAACCGUGAAAUUGCAAUUGAUACUGGAAGUCUAGAGUACAGUUGAGGUAGGCGGAAUUCGUGGUGUAGCGGUGAAAUGCUUAGAUAUCACGAAGAACCCCGAUUGCGAAGGCAGCUGACUAAACUGUGACUGACAUUGAUGCUCGAAAGUGUGGGUAUCAAACAGGAUUAGAUACCCUUGUAGUC
rnacentral:rRNA from 1 species